rnacentral:rRNA from 1 species
AUUGAACGCUGGCGGAAUGCUUUACACAUGCAAGUCGAACGGCAGCAUAGGUGCUUGCACCUGAUGGCGAGUGGCGAACGGGUGAGUAAUACAUCGGAACGUGCCCAGUCGUGGGGGAUAACGUAGCGAAAGUUACGCUAAUACCGCAUACGAUCUACGGAUGAAAGCGGGGGACCGUAAGGCCUCGCGCGAUUGGAGUGGCCGAUAUCAGAUUAGGUAGUUGGUGAGGUAAAGGCUCACCAAGCCGACGAUCUGUAGCUGGUCUGAGAGGACGACCAGCCACACUGGAACUGAGACACGGCCCAGACUCCUACGGGAGGCAGCAGUGGGGAAUUUUGGACAAUGGGCGCAAGCCUGAUCCAGCCAUUCCGCGUGCAGGACGAAGGCCUUCGGGUUGUAAACUGCUUUUGUACAGAACGAAAAGCCUUGGGUUAAUACCCUGGGGUCAUGACGGUACUGUAAGAAUAAGCACCGGCUAACUACGUG